rnacentral:rRNA from 1 species
UACAUAGGGUGCAAGCGUUAUCCGGAAUUAUUGGGCGUAAAGAGCUCGUAAACGGUUUGUCGCGUCUGCUGUGAAAACUGGGGGCUCAACCUCCAGCCUGCAGUGGGUACAAACAGACUAGAGUGCGGUAGAAGAGAUUGGAAUUCCUGGUGUAGCGGUGGAAUGCGCAGAUAUCAGAAGGAACACCGAUGGCGAAGGCACUCUACUGGGCCAUUACUGACACUGAGAGACGAAAGCUAGGGGAGCAAAUGGG